CGGACGGGUGAGUAAUGCCUAGGAAUCUGCCUGGUAGUGGGGGACAACGUUUCGAAAGGAACGCUAAUACCGCAUACGUCCUACGGGAGAAAGCAGGGGACCUUCGGGCCUUGCGCUAUCAGAUGAGCCUAGGUCGGAUUAGCUAGUUGGUGAGGUAAUGGCUCACCAAGGCGACGAUCCGUAACUGGUCUGAGAGGAUGAUCAGUCACACUGGAACUGAGACAGGUCCAGACUCCUACGGGAGGCAGCAGG
rnacentral:rRNA from 1 species